GUGUAUGUGUGUGGGUGUAUGUGUGUAGGUGUACUUGUGUAGGUGUAUGUGUGUGGGUGUAUGUGUGUAGGUGUAUGUGUGUAGGUGUAUGUGUGUGGGUGUAUGUGUGUAGGUGUACUUGUGUAGGUGUAUGUGUGUGGGUGUAUGUGUGUAGGUGUAUGUGUGUAGGUGUAUGUGUGUGGGUGUAUGUGUGUGGGUGUAUGUGUGUAGGUGUACUUGUGUAGGUGUAUGUGUGUGGGUGUAUGUGUGUAGGUGUAUGUGUGUAGGUGUAUGUG